rnacentral:misc_RNA from 1 species
AACUCUUAGCAACGGAUAUCUAGGCUCUCGUAUCGAUGAAGAACGCAGCGAAAUGCGAUACGUAAUGCGAAUUGCAGAUUUUCGUGAAACAUCAAAUCUUUGAACGCAACUUGCGCUCUGGGGAAACCUGGAGCAUGCCUCUCUGAGUGUCGUCACAACCAACCUCGGCUGCGACCUGUUAAAAAGGGUCGCUGAGUCCGGAUAGUGAGAGUCGUUAGAGCCUUUUAUAGGCAACUGGCGUCUCUUUAAGUUGAUGCUAUAUAAACAGCUCUUAGCUUGAUGUCAUCCAUCUGGCUGAUGCCUGAUAACUGACCUUUUUUGGUCAUUCUCUGCAUCUGGCUUGGGAUGUAUUAAGAAUUUGUGGCUUCGUUUAAUUAGCCUCAAAAGGAAAACUUAAACUUUUUAUUCGCGAUCUCAGAUGAAGCAAGAUUACCCGCCGAAUUUAAGCAUAUAAUUAAGCGGAGGAAAAGAAACUAACAAGGAUUCCCCUAGUAGCGGCGAGCGAAGCGGGAAUAGCUCAAUGUUAAAAUCGAUUGCAGUCUCUGUAAUCGAGAUGUAACCUCGAGACAGAAUCCCAGACGUGACCCUGGUAUAAGUCCUCUUGGAACAGGGCGUCAAAGAGGGUGACAACCCCGUUUUUGACCGGGAGUUCGCGUCGUACGGGACCUGCUCAAAGAGUCGAGUACCUUGGGAAUGGUGCUCUAAAUGGGUGGUAUGUUUCAUCUAAAGCUAAAUAUCGACGAGAGACCGAUAGCGAACAAGUACCGUGAGGGAAAGAUGAAAAGAACUUUGAAAAGAGGUCGUUAAAUAGUACUUGAAAUUGUUAAGAGGUAA